rnacentral:rRNA from 1 species
UACGGGGGGAGCAAGCGUUGUUCGGAUUUACUGGGCGUAAAGGGCGCGUAGGCGGUCAGCACAAGUCAGUUGUGAAAUCUCCGGGCUUAACUCGGAAAGGUCAACUGAUACUGUGCGACUAGAGUGCGGAAGGGGCAACUGGAAUUCUCGGUGUAGCGGUGAAAUGCGUAGAUAUCGAGAGGAACACCUGCGGCGAAGGCGGGUUGCUGGGCUGACACUGACGCUGAAGCGCGAAAGCGAGGGGAGCGAACGGG